GACGAACGCUGGCAGCGUGCCUAAUACAUGCAAGUCGAGCGGACAGAAGGGAGCUUGCUCCCGGAAGUUAGCGGCGGACGGGUGAGUAACACGUGGGCAACCUACCCUGUAGAUCGGGAUAACAUCGAGAAAUCGGUGCUAAUACCGGAUAAUCAUUUGAAGUGCAUGCUUCGAAUGUAAAAGAUGGCUCCGGCUAUCACUACGGGAUGGGCCCGCGGCGCAUUAGCUAGUUGGUAAGGUAAUGGCUUACCAAGGCAACGAUGCGUAGCCGACCUGAGAGGGUGAUCGGCCACACUGGGACUGAGACACGGCCCAGACUCCUACGGGAGGCAGCAGUAGGGAAUCUUCCGCAAUGGACGAAAGUCUGACGGAGCAACGCCGCGUGAGUGAUGAAGGUUUUCGGAUCGUAAAGCUCUGUUGUUAGGGAAGAACAAGUGCCGUUUGAAUAGGCGGCACCUUGACGGUACCUAACCAGAAAGCCACGGCUAACUACGUGCCAGCCGCCGCCGUAAAAC
rnacentral:rRNA from 1 species